CCUGCAUAACCCAGUGAUUCCUCGACUAGCUGAUGGGGGGCAGGUGUAGGUAGAUCUGAAACCAAUCCAGCACUGGUCUCUGAGAUAAUGUUUAUGAGCUAUUUGCCUUAGCUUUCCCCAGGUUCAGUUUAUCUGUAACAUAGAGUGAGUAACACCAACCCAGAAGGCUGGUGUGAGAAUUACAUGAGAUAAAAUGUGGGGGGAAAAAAAACUGGCAUAGCAAUAAAUGCUAACAAUCAAUCUGAAUGAUCUCAACACUUCCCUUCAGUUCUUAUUUGCAGCAAUAUUUCUUGACAUAUACGGAUCGUCCUUAUGAACUCUUCCCUCUGAUUUUGCCUUCCCUUCAUCUUUUCCUGGUACCUAUCUGCUCCCAUCACUGUCUCUCCAGGACUCUUGAGGCAGACCUUGUUGGUUGCUUCCCUCUUCCUUUCUUCUUUGCCUAAUCUCUCAACCUCCUUUGCAGCUCUCCUGCAGAACCACCACUGCAAAUUCUGGCCAAUCAUAUGCAAGAAAAGUCUCCUGGGUGACUUCUGGGAAAGAUUUCCCUCCUAGCAAAUGGAGAGAGACUCCUGAGAAGAAGCCCCUUUCCAUCCGCUUCUGUCUUCCUGCUCCAGACAUUGGCAUGUAAAGAAGUGAUGUUUAGUGUUGCUUUGGCCACCUCGUGGCCAUAAGUGGGGGCAUGACUGACAUGCUGAGAACAGCAAAGCAAAGAGAUGCAAGGGGCCUGUGUCUUUGCUGACAUUCCUGAAUGGCUGACCGAGCCCUGGAACUUCUGUCUUUGGACCUUUUGUCUCGAGGGAUCCUUGAAUCUAUGGGUUGAAUGUUUGUUACUUCCAAUGAGAACAUCACCAGUGACACAAUCCAGCUCUCUUCUUACUCUGCCCACCCCAAACCCCUCCCUACUCCCACCCCACCCUCUGCCCAAAAACUCCUUCCUAUCAGCCCUUGUUGAUUCACAGAACACUGAGUUGACAAACAUAAGGGGGACAACAGAAUCCCAGUCCCUGGAUCAGGGAUACCCUGGCCCACUGUUUGGUGAAAAGAUGCAAAGAACUCUCUAAUGACCUGCUUCUUUCUUGAAAUCUUUGACUAAAACUUUUAAGGAAGUUCCCCAUAAUCAAUGUGGAAGAAAAUAAGAAAGUGACCAUGGCUAAUCAAUCACGGCCUUCUUUUCCACUGAACUUUAAUUCAACCUGAAGUUCCUUCUUAACACUUCACAUCAGUGGUUGUCAAAGUGUGGCCCAACAAGUAGCAUCAACAUCACCUGGAAACUUACUAGAAAUGAACAUUCUUGGGCCCAACUUCGGACUUAGUGAAUCAGAGACUCUGCAGGUAGGGUCUGGCAAUCUGUGUUUUUAUCAAGCUGUCCAGGUGACCUUGAUCCAUGUUAAAUUUUGAGAGACACUGCUUCCAGAUCAGUGAGUCUUACUCCUGGCUGUACAUUAGAAACACCCAGGAAGAUUUUAAACAUGCCUAGGACCAGCCCCUAGACAUUCUGAUAUUGAUCUGGGAUGGGAACUGCCAUCAAUUAUUAAAAGCUCCCUAGACAAUUUUAAUAUGUGGCCAGGGCUGAGAACCACUGUUCCAAGUAGUCACUACCCAUCAGUUAGGGUUGGAAGGAGACUGCACACCUAUUUGCCAUCCUUAUUUUAGAUAACCUAGAACCAUCCAAACUGAAAAGUAACCAACAAAGAUAAUCUAUAAAUUUGGGAAUUGUGACUUACUGUGGAAGAUGCA
rnacentral:lncRNA from 10 species